rnacentral:rRNA from 1 species
UACGUAGGUGGCAAGCGUUAUCCGGAUUUAUUGGGUUUAAAGGGUGCGUAGGCGGGAUGCCAAGUCAGCGGUAAAAAUGCGGUGCUCAACGCCGUCGAGCCGUUGAAACAGGCGUUCUUGAGUGGGCGAGAAGUAUGCGAAAUGCGUGGUGUAGCGGUGAAAUGCAUAGAUAUCACGCAGAACUCCGAUUGCGAAGGCAGCAUACCGGCGCCCUACUGACGCUGAGGCACGAAAGCGUGGGUAUCGAACAGG